rnacentral:rRNA from 1 species
GAUGAACGCUAGCGGCAGGCUUAAUACAUGCAAGUCGAGGGGCAGCAGUCCCGCAGCAAUGCGGGAGCUGGCGACCGGCAAACGGGUGCGGAACACGUACAGAACCUUCCUUCGAGCGGGGAAUAGCCCAGAGAAAUUUGGAUUAAUACCCCAUAGCAUUACGAAGUGGCAUCACUUUGUAAUUAAAGAUUUAUCACUCGAAGAUGGCUGUGCGGCUGAUUAGGUAGUUGGCGGAGUAACGGCCCACCAAGCCUUCGAUCAGUAACUGGUGUGAGAGCACGACCAGUCACACGGGCACUGAGACAC